rnacentral:rRNA from 1 species
UACGUAGGUGGCAAGCGUUGUCCGGAUUUACUGGGCGUAGAGAGCGCGCAGGCGGUCGUACAAGUCGCGUGUGAAAGCCCCCGGCUCAACUGGGGAGGGUCACGCGAUACUGUUCGACUCGAAGGCAGGAGAGGGAAGCAGAAUUCCCGGUGUAGUGGUGAAAUGCGUAGAUAUUGGGAGGAACACCGGUGGCGAAGGCGGCCCCCUGGACCGGAACUGACGCUGAGGCGCGAAAGCUAGGGGAGCAAACGGG